CCCUACCCCAUGGCACCCUGCAGCACUGCCUGCUGGGGAAGAGCGCCACCCUGCCCCAUGGCACACCCCAGCGCCCGGCCCUGUCUGCCGGAGAAGAGCGCCCGGCCCUGCCCCACAGCACCCCCCAGCGCCCGGUCCUGCCUGCCAGGGGAGAGCGACUGGCCCUAUCCCCCCCCGUGCCCGGCCCUGCCCCACAGCGCCCGGCCCUGCCUGCCGGGGGAGAGCGCCCGGCCCUGUCCCCUCCUGACUGGCCCUAUCCCCCCCGUGCCCGGCCCUGCCCCACAGCGCCCGGCCCUGCCUGCCGGGGGAGAGCGCCCGGCCCUGUCCCCUCCGUGCCCAGCCCUGCCCCCCAGCGCCCGGCCCUGCCUGCCGGGGGAGAGCGCCCGGCCCUGUCCCCUCCUGACUGGCCCUAUCCCCCCCGUGCCCGGCCCUGCCCCACAGCGCCCGGCCCUGCCUGCCGGGGGAGA